rnacentral:rRNA from 1 species
UACGUAGGGUCCGAGCGUUGUCCGGAAUUAUUGGGCGUAAAGGGCUCGUAGGCGGUCCGUCACGUCGGGAGUGAAAACUCAGGGCUCAACCCUGAGCGUGCUUCCGAUACGGGCGGACUAGAGGUAUGCAGGGGAGAACGGAAUUCCUGGUGUAGCGGUGGAAUGCGCAGAUAUCAGGAGGAACACCGGUGGCGAAGGCGGUCUCUGGGCGAAUUGACCGUGCGUGAGGAGCGAAAGCAUGGGGAGCGAACAGG